AGAUAUCUUUGUGGUUUUAUACUAAUGACUUUCACUGUUCAACAUUUUGGAUAAAGCUAUUAGUAAAUCUUUUGGUUUUUUAUUUAUUUGAAUUGCUGCUAGUCCACGUAAAAAAAAAUUUUUUAUAGACCUAACCUAAAAAAUAUGUUUAGAAGAACCGGAAACGUAAGCUAGCUAUUGUCUUCGAAGGUAAUCAGACGAUGAGCAUUAGCAAUAAAAAAAGCUGCUACCUAUCACUUAUGAUUCUUUUCAAAACAGUUUGGAAUAAGGACAUAUUAAAUCGCUCAAGAGAGUCACAGUGGAGGAGAAUUUAUUCGGGCCGUCCAGAUGGUAUGUGGCUAGAAUGACCGGAUAAACUAUCCUGGAUCAUCUCAAACGAUUUUACAGAAUCGGCAACAAGCUACAUCAAAAAGUACGUAGGUUAAAAGCCAAAUCAAUACAGGCUGGCAUUAUUAGCGAUUCAAGGCAGAGUGUUGAGGUAUAAGCUACACAAAAGAAAAUAGAGUUGCUAAUAAAAUGUAAAAUUAUCUUGCUAUUAGUCACAAGCUUCGACUCCGAUAACAGCUUUAUCGCAGAAUCGAUAUCAGAUACGCCCAUAGAUUAAAAACUGAAUGAUAAAUAGUAACAUUGAUCCAAACAUCAUUAUUCUUUGGAGUUCUCAACUCUGAAUACACAAGUGACUCAUUUAUUAGCGCAGGGCAGAAAUAAAAUUGUAAAGGAAUGCCACCUCCUCACGCGAUGCCAUGUGGCCCACACUGUGGCACGGGAUACUGCGCCCCACAUUGCUACCACCGAAACCAUAUUAUGGGUCCCCAUCCGCCGCCGCCACACCACCCACCCCCGCAUCACUUCUACCCGCAUCCACCACACUAUCCUCCGCCUCAUCAUUACCCCCCACCACCACCAAUCCACCACCCUCCACCGCACUAUCACUACGAUCCCCACCAUAACCCAUCACAAAAUUAGAUGCGUUAAGCUCUCAAAAAAAUUAUUAAAAGGUCGAGUUUUCUAGUAGACUUUUGCGUCUGUGACGAUGAAGCACAUAAAUAUUUUUAAACAGCAAUAGCACAAAGGAUCAAAAGUGCAAUUUUAAUUAAAGUUUUUAAAAAGGGUGAUAAUAUUUAGAUUUUUUUAUCGAUUAUUUAUCUGAUGUAUUAUAUAAAUAAUGAGUAGUAUAUUAUUCUUCAUAUUUUCUUUAUUUGUCAUGAGUUGAAAAGAGCAAAAUUUAAGUGUGAAGCAAUAUUUGAUUUAGAUCUGCAGUAGUUAGUAUAAGUGAAAUUUACAUUAGGCGAUAACACAGACACAAUUUCCAUGAAGUACUUAUUUAUUUGUAAUCUAAUCAAAUUAUUCAUAUUAAUCUUUUUGUGAAUUUAUUUUAUCAAGCAGUGCGAUUAAGAUAAUAUAAAUAAAAUACAAAUUUAAUCUA